rnacentral:rRNA from 1 species
CCUACGGGGGGCAGCAGUGAGGAAUAUUGGUCAAUGGGCGCGAGCCUGAACCAGCCAAGUCGCGUGAGGGAAGACGGUCCUAUGGAUUGUAAACCUCUUUUGUCGGGGAGCAAAAGACGCCACGCGUGGCGUUCCGAGAGUACCCGAAGAACAAGCAUCGGCUAACUCCGUGCCAGCAGCCGCGGUAAUACGGAGGAUGCGAGCGUUAUCCGGAUUUAUUGGGUUUAAAGGGUGCGCAGGCGGAAGAUGAAGUCAGCGGUAAAAUUGAGAGGCUCAACCUCUUCGAGCCGUUGAAACUGGUUUUCGUGAGUGAGUGAGAAGUAUGCGGAAUGCGUGGUGUAGCGGUGAAAUGCAUAGAUAUCACGCAGAACUCCGAUUGCGAAGGCAGCAUACCGGCGCUCAACUGACGCUCAUGCACGAAAGUGUGGGUAUCGAACAGGAUUAGAUACCCGGGUAGUC